rnacentral:rRNA from 1 species
GCCCAAGAGACUGGGAUAACACCUGGAAACAGAUGCUAAUACCGGAUAACAACACUAGACGCAUGUCUAGAGUUUAAAAGAUGGUUCUGCUAUCACUCUUGGAUGGACCUGCGGUGCAUUAGCUAGUUGGUAGGUAACGGCUACCAAGGCAAUGAUGCAUAGCCGAGUUGAGAGACUGAUCGGCCACAUUGGGACUGAGACACGGCCAAACUCCUACGGGAGGCAGCAGUA